rnacentral:rRNA from 1 species
GUGUCAGCAGCCGCGGUAAUACGUAGGAGGCGAGCGUUGUCCGGAUUUAUUGGGCGUAAAGGGCGCGCAGGCGGCACUAUAAGUCAGGUGUGAAAUCUCCCGGCUCAACUGGGAGGGUGCAUUUGAUACUGUAGAGCUGGAGUGCAGCAGAGGGAGAUGGAAUUCCCGGUGUAGUGGUGAAAUGCGUAGAUAUCGGGAGGAACACCAGUGGCGAAAGCGGUCUUCUGGGCUGUAACUGACGCUGAGGCGCGAAAGCGUGGGGAGCGAACCGGAUUAGAUACCCGGGUAGUCCACGCCGUAAACGAUGGACACUAGGUGUGGGGGGUAUCGACCCCCUCCGUGCCGUAGCUAACGCAAUAAGUGUCCCGCCUGGGGAGUACGGCCGCAAGGCUAAA